GGAGUUAACUAGACAAUCACUUAAAUCUUUGGAUUUAGGAGGAAAGUCCGGGCUCUAGCGGGAACGAUGCCAGGUAACACCUGGAAGGCGUAAGCCUAUGGAAAGUGCAGCAGAAAAUAUACCGCUUCAAUUUGAAGUAAGGGUGAAAAGGUGUGGUAAGAGCUCACCGCAUGGAUGGCAACAUUUAUGGCAUUGUAAACCCCAUCGAGAGCAAGACCAAAUAGAGGAGUAAUGAUUUCCCGUAAUCGCUCCAGGGUAGGUUGCUAGAGGUAUUUGGUGACAAAUAUCCCAGAUGAAUGAUUGUCCAAGACAGAACCCGGCUUAUCGGUUAACUCUAAUC
rnacentral:RNase_P_RNA from 1 species